GGAGAGGUGCCGGAGUGGCCGAACGGGAUUGAUUCGAAAUCAAUUGACGGGGUAACUCGUCCCAGGGUUCGAAUCCCUGCCUCUCCGCCA
rnacentral:tRNA from 1 species